GAUGAACGCUGGCGGCGUGCCUAAUACAUGCAAGUCGAGCGAACAGACGAGGAGCUUGCUCCUCUGACGUUAGCGGCGGACGGGUGAGUAACACGUGGAUAACCUACCUAUAAGACUGGGAUAACUUCGGGAAACCGGAGCUAAUACCGGAUAAUAUAUUGAACCGCAUGGUUCAAUAGUGAAAGACGGUUUUGCUGUCACUUAUAGAUGGAUCCGCGCCGCAUUAGCUAGUUGGUAAGGUAACGGCUUACCAAGGCAACGAUGCGUAGCCGACCUGAGAGGGUGAUCGGCCACACUGGAACUGAGACACGGUCCAGACUCCUACGGGAGGCAGCAGUAGGGAAUCUUCCGCAAUGGGCGAAAGCCUGACGGAGCAACGCCGCGUGAGUGAUGAAGGUCUUCGGAUCGUAAAACUCUGUUAUUAGGGAAGAACAGAUGUGUAAGUAACUAUGCACGUCUUGACGGUACCUAAUCAGAAAGCCACGGCUAACUACGUA
rnacentral:rRNA from 1 species